rnacentral:rRNA from 1 species
GGACGGGUGAGUAAUGCUUGGGAACUUGCCUUUGCGAGGGGGAUAACAGUUGGAAACGACUGCUAAUACCGCAUAAUGUCUACGGACCAAACGGGGCUUAGGCUCCGGCGCAAAGAGAGGCCCAAGUGAGAUUAGCUAGUUGGUAAGGUAAAGGCUUACCAAGGCAACGAUCUCUAGCUGUUCUGAGAGGAAGAUCAGCCACACUGGGACUGAGACACGGCCCAGACUCCUACGGGAGGCAGCAGUGGGGAAUAUUGCACAAUGGGGGAAACCCUGAGCAGCCAGCCGCGUGUGGAAGAAGGCCUUCGGGUUUAAAGCACUUCAGUGGAGGAAAAGUUAGUAGUAAACUGCAGCCGGACGUACGCCGG